UCAAAAACUGAAGAUUGUCUGCAACGAGUCUGAAGUUUUCCAGCAUGAAUCGUCAUCAGUAAAUCCCACUGAAACCAAGCCAGAAACAAACGAUGACAGCACACUGUUUAUUGCUAUUGGAAUAUGUGUUGGGGUUCUUGUCAUGAUUACCAUUGUCAUUAUUACUGUACUUUUCACCAGAAGAAGAUCAAGUAAGAGACUGGGCGAAUUACAAAGGAACACUGUAUCAGAUUCAAAUCAAGAAAAUCAGUAUUCACAAUAUGAUGGAUUGACAGACAAUGUAUUAUAUGUAUCAGCAACACAUCAAGACGACUAUGACAUUAAUUAUUCCACAGUUAAUUUAGAAAGGCAACAAAUGGCAGCAACGCAUUCUGAAAUCGAUAAUCACUACAACACUGUGGGGACCCAUGCAGAAACCAGGUCUUUACAAGCAUUACAAACAUUUCACGACAACGAGGCUAUGAUUAAUAAUAAAACUUCAAACUCCAGCAAUGAAACGAAGAAUCUCAGUCCACCUAACAAAUGUAGUGUUGUGUAUGCUGUCGUUGACAAAGGGCUACAAAGUUCGAUUCAAAAUUCAUCUGCAAAAAUACAGGACGAUGCGAAACCAGAAUAAGCUUAUGCUAUUGUUGAUAAAACACGAAAUCAGGAUCCAUGACGUGUUAGUCAUAACGAUUUAUGUUGUAUAAAUGCUGUAUAAAGUGUAUAUGUUUUAAAAUUUUCACAAGUUUGAGCAAAAUUAUCAUUCAAUGUAGAUGCCUGUGGUAAUGCAAAUAUAUCAGAGCAGUUGUAAUAUUUAAAUAAAUUUAUGUUCUUAGUUAAACAACGAUACUAUUGCAUGUUUAACUUGUAUCCUAAAACGUGUUUGAUCAGAAUGAAACACAUCUUUAAAAUGAAUAUAUAAAUGCAAACGGAAAAUAAGCUUUGAAACAUAGAGUAUAAUAUGAUUCAUAAAACAUCUUAUCAGUUUACUUCCUUUAAUAAUUGUGAUUGUUGCGUGAUUAUCAGUAAGAAUAUCAACCACAUUGUGUUAUCUGUAAGAUAAUGUCAAAUGUGAUAAUCAAUUUAUAACAUUGUUGCUAACUAUGUAGUGUAAUGUCAACCAAGGGCAAACUAUUGUUUCAUCUGCUAUGUUUAAAUUGUGUAAGUACUAAUUUUAUUCACAGAAUACAAAUGGUCAUUGUGAAUUACACAUACCUUUAGUUUGUGAGAGAAAAUAUGGAAGAUGUUUUAUAUUUUUGCUUUAACGUUAAAUAUCCAUGUGUAAUAUUUGCAUUCAAUCAAAUCCUUAAAAUUACAGAAUAACUUAUGGGUUUUAAAAGUUUUGUUUAAAUUUUGUUUACAUUGUACCCCUUCA